rnacentral:rRNA from 1 species
AGGGCACCACCAGGAGUGGAGCCUGCGGCUUAAUUUGACUCAACACGGGGAAACUUACCCGGCCUGGACACUGGAAGGAUUGACAGAUUGAGAGCUCUUUCUUGAUUCAGUGGGUGGUGGUGCAUGGCCGUUCUUAGUUGGUGGAGCGAUUUGUCUGGUUAAUUCCGAUAACGAACGAGACUCUAGCCUAUUAAAUAGGCUCUCGGCUUUUAAACGCCGGGAGGACUUCUUAGAGGGACAGGUGGCGGUUCAGCCGCACGAAAGAGAGCAAUAACAGGUCUGUGAUGCCCUUUGUUGUCCGGGGCCGCACGCGCGCUACACUGAAGAGAUCAGCGUGCUUUACGUUCCUGCUCCGACCGGAGUGGGGAACCCAGUGAACCUUCUUCGUGAUUGGGAUAGAAGAUUGUAAUUAUUCUUCUUGAACGAGGAAUUCCCAGUAAAUGCGAGUCAUAAGCUCGCGUUGAUUACGUCCCUGCCCUUUGUACACACCGCCCGUCGCUACUACCGAUUGAACGAUAU